rnacentral:lncRNA from 7 species
UUCUUCAGAACAGCAAUGUGUUGUACCUCUAAACAGUCCACCAGAGCUUCAGCUAUGGGAAGCCACAAGAUAAAGCCUGCUUGUUUUCUCCUGUAAGACAUAGUGGCCAGGUAGAAAUGGGACAGUUUGCUAUAAUUAGCUAAGAGGAUCUCAGAAGACAUAUUACAGCUACACCUCAGACAGCAGGAAGUCACAUGAAGCAGAUGCAGUUUCUUUAUUUAUCUUAUUCUUCAGCAUAGGCUACUAGCAGAAAAUGAUAUUAGUGGGUUGCCUCUCAGAAAUCCAGACAGACUACUUACUGCUUUCUUUUCCUUUCCCAUUUUUUUUUAAUAGUUCUGCACUCAGUUUUCAUGAGUAACAACCUGCAGAUCCUCAGAUUUCAGGCAUCCCAAAAGAAAAUGCUUUGCAAAGUGAAGUUAAAAUACAAAUAAAAGCUUUGAAAUUUUAUUGUGAAAGACAGUUGCCUCAGUAAGGCUAUCCAACAAUGGAUGUGUUACCUGUCUCAUUAUUCAGCAAGGGUUGAUGCAUCUUCCUGGCCUCUGAAGAUGCUUUUUAUUUGGAGACUUCAGGUCAGCCUCAUACUCCAAUACUGACAUGACAUUUAUCAGCAGUAAAAGGAAGAUCAUGAUCAUGCCAGGUAGACAUGAUUCAAAACUCAAUAGCUGAUUUAGAUAACUUGGAACUACCUAGAGCAAGAAAGCCAUGAGAAAAUGUCUGUGCAACUCCAUGGAAAUGAGUCUUAUCCUCUGUUCAGGUGCCACUGUUUCUCAUGGAGCCAACAGCCAUAUGAUUUCAGGCUUCCUCUCUUACCUCUUCCAUGGAGCUGAACCUCCAGCAAGAAAUAUGUUAUCUUUAUAUGAAAUCACAUCAUGGAUUUAAUGUGCAUAAUAGAUCUACAGAAAGUUGCUUGUGCACAGAAUGCAGAGCAGAGGAAUGUAUAGAAGGUGGGAAAUACGAAGUUAGAGCUUUUCUUUCGCUGCUUUAAACAGAGAACAUGUGAAAUUACUGCCUCAAGUGUUUAGAGCAGUGGGACUGAUGAUCACAAACAGAGUUUACCACUUAUCUGUAAAUCGUGUUUGCAAAUAGCCGUGAUUGAUUUGCUGCAUGUCUUCUCCCUUUUGGCUGAAGACCUUGAUGAUCCUUCUCUGUAAAAUCCCCACAGGAAAUUUUGAGCACUGAAAAAUAUCCACUUUCCCCUAUAGUGUUUGUUCUGCACUGGACAAAGUAGAGUAAGAGACAGAGUGCUGAACUCUUUCUGGAUCUCAAUAAGAGAGUCUCUUAAUAAAAUGGCAUAGAUAUUGGUCAAACUCAAAGUUCUUCAGACACUAGGAACAUCUCUUUCAUGCAGCACUGAAUGGACAUCAGAAGGACUUUCCCAUGUUGCACUGCAUUGACUCUGUCUGUGGAUGGAGGAAGAACCCUCUGGUGUAAUGACAUGGGAAUGAUUGCACCAGAUCACAAUAGCUGUCCACCUACCUUGUUCUUUUCUUCAAUAGAGACCAGUAGUGCAUUUUCAGAGAGCAAUGCAAAAAAAAAUAAGGAUCAAAAACUUCCUCUGUUGUGUUCAGGGAAAUUGAAGCACAUUGUCCUGAGGCUGUGACCCAGGAGCCCAGAGCACACAUAGAAAAGGAAAGUGUUUGUUCCUUUUUGCAUUUGGAAUGUAUUAGCUUGUAGUUGUUUAACUGUUGGAUUAAUAGCUGCUUUGAGGAAGAAUGUGUUAAAAAAAAAACUCAAGUAAUGAAAUCUUUAUUAGAUUCAUUAGGGACAUAUUUGUAUCUUCUUCUGAAGUUAUUUUGACUACAGAUUUGUUUGGGAAUAUAUUUGUAUGCUUUGGUGUUUUCUUCCUAUCUCAAAAAACUUCAGUUGGCUACAAAAAUUCUCAGUCUGUAACUCAGUAUCUGC